CCUACGUGAGGCAGCAGUGAGGAAUAUUGGUCAAUGGUCGUAAGCCUGAACCAGCCAAGUCGCGUGCAGGAUGACGGCCCUAUGGGUUGUAAACUUCUUUUAUACGGGAAUAAAGCGCGUCACGUGUGGUGUUUUGCAUGUACCCGAUGAAUAAGCACCGGCUAAUUCCGUGCCAGCAGCCGCGGUAAUACGGAAGGUGCGGGCGUUAUCCGGAUUUAUUGGGUUUAAAGGGUGCGUAGGCGGCAUGUGAAGGGCGCGGUGAAAUUCUGGGGCUCAACCAGUUCAUUGCGGUGGAAACUGGCGUGCUUGAGUGAGCGGGAAGUAGGCGGAAUGCGUGGUGUAGCGGUGAAAUGCAUAGAUAUCACGCAGAACGCCGAUUGCGAAGGCAGCAUACUGGCGCGGAACUGACGCUGAUGCACGAAAGCGUGGGUAUCGAACAGGAUUAGAUACCCGUGUAGUC
rnacentral:rRNA from 1 species